UCCAACAGGAUCAAGCAUUAAAGUUCACAUAAUGUAGGGGAAAAGAUAUUGCAAUACUUCUUUCUCUGUAACUACAUAGCGUGAUUUAGGUAGUAAUAAGGAUCUACAAAAUAUACUCACCAUAAGGAACUGGAAAACGUUUCAAAAGGUAAUAUUCAACAACUGACAUCGAUGCUGAGAACAUCAUGGCAAAGGUGGCCGUUGCACUUGAAACCUGCAGCAGAGUUCAAAAACAUGAGGCUAGAAUCUUCAAAGGGCCUGUUUAACAUAAGAUGGAAAAUCCAACAGAACAACAGGUACCCAAAAUGGACAAUGCAGACAGCAACUAAUUAGAUAGAAAUAUGGAACUAUUCAGUCACUUCUUAGUGUUUAACUUUGUCCAUCGUAUGGUUUAACCAAAUUUAAGGAAAUACUCUUCCUAGGUCUUCUUGAAUCACUACUUCUUCGAGGAGUUUGGAGCAGUAGUCAAGAGUUCAAUAUUGCAACCAUUUAUAGCUGGACACCAUUAACAUCCGUGAUCUAUUCUUUGUCCAAAACACUAUGAAGUCAAUUAUCAUAGUCAGAUGCUCAAGAUUUCAUUCACUCUUAAUGUAAGAUGAUGAGUUGAAAACUCAUACUGUAUCUUAUAGUGAAAAUGAAGAAAUCAUUGAAGACAAUAACUGCAACUGACAGGCUUUUGUUUAGGGAAGAGGCUCCUUUUUUCCUCUCACCAUCAGAUUAGUCAUGAAGAAAUGGAAGUAGGAACAUACUGAGCCAACUGCCCAGUCAUGAUGCACAUGUCUCUUCACUGUAUAUCAAAUAGCUCGAAA